rnacentral:rRNA from 1 species
UGGCGGACGGGUGAGUAACGCGUGGGCGAACCUGCCCUGUACCGGGGAGUAACAGCCGGAACGGCUGCUAAUACCGCAUAAGCGCACGAGAGCGCAUGCUUUUGUGUGAAAAACUCCGGUGGUACGGGAUGGGCCCGCGUCUGAUUAGCUUGUUGGCGGGGUAGAAGCCCACCAAGGCGACGAUCAGUAGCCGACCUGAGAGGGUGACCGGCCACAUUGGGACUGAGACACGGCCCAAACUCCUACGGGAGGCAGCAG